CAACCUAUGCCCAGAGUUUAGUAGAGAAAGGACUCAGCCUUGCCUGAUCCUGCCAUGGACAGACACAGAACAGCAGGACCCAGUAGAGGCUGUCUCCUCUACUGGAUGAUCCUGGGCCUGCUGGGAGCAGGACACAUGGAAUCCAGAGUCAGCCAAACACCCAACCACGAUGUCACAGAGAUGGGACAGAGCAUAGUCCUCAGAUGUGAGCCCAUUUCUGGUCAUUAUGCCAUCUAUUGGUAUCGACAUACCCCAGAAAAGGGAAUGGAGUUUCUGAUCUAUUUCUAUAACAAGGCACCUGCUGAGAAGGCGGACUUCUUCAAGGAUCGGUUCUCAGCUAACAUGUCUGAGGACUCCCACGCUACACUGACUAUCCAACCUGUGCAGCUUGGGGACUCAGCCACAUAUUUCUGUGCCAGCAGCUUGGAUCACAUUGCUACAAAGUCACUUCCUGCCCAUGCAUAA